ensembl:snRNA U6 U6 spliceosomal RNA
AUGCUUGCUUUGGAGCACAUAUACUAAAAUUGGAAUGAUAUUGAAAAGAUUAGCAUGGCCCCUGUGCAAAGAUGACACACAAAUUCGUGAAGAGUUCCCGAAAAAC